rnacentral:misc_RNA from 1 species
AUUUUUCGCUUUUAGACAGUUAAUUGUAGCUGGUUUCCUUUAUUGGGCGUUUAUCUGAUAAGUCGUGUGCUUCUGUACAUCGAUUUGUUUGGAAAUGCCAUCCCGUUACCAUUUUAAAUGUUUUUGUGGAAUUUGAAAAUAAAAUUAUCAAGAUUUCAUUAAUCUUCCUUAAGUUUGUUGAUGAUUUGUCGAGUAGUUAAUCACAAAGUACUGAAAAUUGACUAAUUUGAAAUGUAUUUUAGUGACGAUAAUAUGGAG